rnacentral:rRNA from 1 species
GGGAGGUAGUGACAAGAAAUAACAAUACGGGGCUUAAAGUCUUGUAAUUGGAAUGAUGGGAAUUUAAACCUCUUCCAGAGUAUCAAUUGGAGGGCAAGUCUGGUGCCAGCAGCCGCGGUAAUUCCAGCUCCAAUAGCGUAUAUUAUAAUUGUUGCAGUUAAAAAGCUCGUAGUUGAAUUUCUGCUGCAUUGCUUGUGUCCCUCUGGGGUCUGUGCAUGUGGCUUUUUUCGGUCGGAGUUUCUUUGUCCGAAUGUUUACUUUGAGAAAAUUAGAGUGCUCAAAGCAGGCUUUCGCCUUGAAUAGUUUAGCAUGGAAUAAUAAAGUAGGACUUUGGUUCUAUUUUGUUGGUUUUAGGUACCAAAGUAAUGGUUAAUAGGAACAGUUGGGGGCUUUCGUAUUUAACUGUCAGAG